CCUACGGGGAGCAGCAGUGAGGAAUAUUGGUCAAUGGACGAGAGUCUGAACCAGCCAAGUAGCGUGAAGGAUGACUGCCCUAUGGGUUGUAAACUUCUUUUAUAUGGGAAUAAAAUGUUCCACGUGUGGGAUUUUGUAUGUACCAUAUGAAUAAGGAUAGGCUAACUCCGUGCCAGCAGCCGCGGUAAUACGGAGGAUCCGAGCGUUAUCCGGAUUUAUUGGGUUUAAAGGGAGCGUAGGUGGAUUGUUAAGUCAGUUGUGAAAGUUUGCGGCUCAACCGUAAAAUUGCAGUUGAAACUGGCAGUCUUGAGUACAGUAGAGGUGGGCGGAAUGCGUGGUGUAGCGGUGAAAUGCUUAGAUAUCACGAAGAACUCCGAUUGCGAAGGCAGUUCACUGGACUGCAACUGACACUGAGGCUCGAAAGUGUGGGUAUCAAACAGGAUUAGAUACCCGGGUAGUC
rnacentral:rRNA from 1 species